rnacentral:rRNA from 1 species
ACGCGAAGAACCUUACCCUGCCCUUGACAUCCAGGGAACUUUCCAGAGAUGGAUUGGUGCCUUCGGGAACCCUGAGACAGGUGCUGCAUGCUGUCGUCAGCUCGUUUCGUGAGAUGUUGGUUUAAGUCCCGCAACGAGCGCAACCUUGUCUUAGUGCCAGCAUUAAGUUGGGCACUCUAAGGGAGACUGCCGGUGACAAACCGGAGGAAGGUGGGGAUGACGUCAAAUCAUCCAUGGCCCUUAUGGGCAGGGCUACACACGUGCUACAAUGGCCGGUACAAAGGUCGCGAACCCGCGAGGGGAAGCUAAUCUCAUAAAGCCGUCGUAGUGAUGGAGUCUGCAACCUCGACUCCCAUGAAGUCGGAAUCGCUAGUAAU